rnacentral:rRNA from 1 species
AGUGAACGCUGGCGGUAGGCCUAACACAUGCAAGUCGAACGGCAGCACAGUAAGAGCUUGCUCUUACGGGUGGCGAGUGGCGGACGGGUGAGGAAUACAUCGGAAUCUACUUUUUCGUGGGGGAUAACGUAGGGAAACUUACGCUAAUACCGCAUACGACCUACGGGUGAAAGCAGGGGAUCUUCGGACCUUGCGCGACUGAAUGAGCCGAUGUCGGAUUAGCUAGUUGGCGGGGUAAAGGCCCACCAAGGCGACGAUCCGUAGCUGGUCUGAGAGGAUGAUCCGCCACACUAGAACUGAGACACGGUCCAGACUCCUACGGGAGGAAGCAGUGGGGAAUAUUGGACAAUGGGCGCAAGCCUGAUACAGCCAUACCGCGUGGGUGAAGAAGGCCUUCGGGUUGUAAAGCCCUUUUAUUGGGAAAGAAAAGCAGCAGGUUAAUACCCCGCUGUUCUGACGGUACCCAAAGAAUAAGCACCGGCUAACUUCGUG